ensembl:lncRNA FAM230C family with sequence similarity 230 member C
GCCGAGACUGCGCUUCGUGCGAGGCCCGGGCAGCAUCGGCGGCGUGGUCAGAGCGAGUCUCGGAGAAGAUGUGGUGGCUUCCGUUUGUUGGUGGAGGAGGUGGCAGGCCUCGGCGGUGACUCGAAGAAUUCUUCCAAAAAGCGUGUGAAAAGGGAGCCCUACUCUACUACCAAGGUGACUUCAGGGAGCACAUUCAAUGAGAAUACAAGAAGAUAUGCUGUGCACACCAACCAGUGUCGGAGACCUCAUGGCUCCCCGGUAAAGAAGAAGAUGUACCCACAAGAAGAUGACUUCCAUCAUACAAUCUUCAGCAACCUUGAAAGAUUGGACAAGCUUCAGCCCACUCUUGAAGCCUCUGAGGAGUCUCUAGUUCACAAGGACAGAGGAGAUGGAGAGAGGCCAGUCAACGUGAGGGUGGUGCAGGUGGCCCCUCUGAGGCGUGAAUCUAUGACUCCUCUACCCUCACCAGAGCCAUCCCCGGGUCUGCCUUAUUAUCCCGACUACUCAGGUGGAGAACCUGAAGGGCCAAGGGAGUGGCCCCAGCUCCUGAGUUCCUGAAUGAAAAAGUGAAAACACGAACCCAGGAGUGUGGGCCAGUGCUGACACUGACAUGCACUUAGUCAUGGAGUGUUCACCACCACACAGGGAGUUCAGCAUUCAUCUAUAAGCCCUAAAGCACCGAGCCCAAAAGGCCCCAGACACUGCCCAUCAUCAUAAAGUGGCCUCUGUGGUCACACAACCCAGGGCAGUUAUAGGCUCAUCUCCCCACGGACAGGCAUAGUCAUCAGUGUGUCAAAAGCACAAAGAUCCCCAGGUGUUUUGCUCAGCUCACAGAUCUUUUUUUUUUAACUUUUAAGUUCAGGGGUACAUGUGCAGGAUGUGCAGGUUUGCUACAUAUAGAAAUGUGUGUCAUGAGAGUUUGUUGUACAGAUUAUUGCAUCACCCAUACAUUGAGCCUAAUAUCAGCUAUUUUUCCUGAUCCUCCCCCUCCUCCCACCUCCCACCCUCCAGUGGGCCCCACGCUCACAAAUUCUAAGAGGAGUGGGGGACCACAAAUGCCAGUGUGGCCCACUUCAGUUGUGAAGUUAAUUUGCUCAGCAGCUGGCCAAAGCCUGUAAGGAUGGGUGAUGUAUUUUAGUAGAUUUAGUAAUACUAUCUUCCCAAGCCCUAAAAUGCUCAAAACCUGCCAGCCAAAAAUGGUGAGGAGGGACAGAUAGGAACUCUGUGUGGCACUUGGUUAUUAGCCUGGCUUCCAUCCCUUAGUGGCAACUCUCUUGUAUAUGUGGGUUAAAGACCCUCAGCCUCAAGCCAAGCCUCCUCCAUGAGGAGCCAUCUCACUAUUGACUGGCUAGUGCCGGGUAUGGCCACCAGCCCAACUGAAACAAAAUGUUGCUUUAAAACAAGUGUAAAUCUCAUACAACAGGCAAAUGCAGAAGCAAUGUGGUCUCGCAAGUUGUAAAGAGGACAGUCGCAAUUUUGCUGGACUUCAACCUGGGUAGAAGACAUGAGGGAACUCUGUCACUGAAUCACGGCAGAGUUCAAGGCCACUUGUAGACUAUUUCAUGUUACAGAAGGUAGCCUUUAGCUACUAAGCAAAGGCCUCGGUUUCUCAUUUCUUUCCUGUUCAUCUUCUUGGUCAUCCUUCUUCCGCAAGGGAAACGAGCCCAAGCAAAAGGCAGUUUCAAUAUUAAUUUGACCGAGGUUUUGUGCAGUUUAUUAUCAUCCAGGUAAUCAGGUGCAACCCAGUCUGCCUAGCAGCCCCCCUCUCUCUGCUCUGUGUUUUCAUUUAAUAAACAUUUUGGUCUACUUACUAUGUGCUAGAUUUUCUCGAGACCAAGUAAAUGAGAUAGAAUCUUUAUGUUGGCAGCUAAGUUAGAUUUAACAUAACUGACAAAAAUUAAAAUUUCUGAUUUCUUGUAAAAAUUGUAUGUGUGAAUGCAUACUGAAAGUAAAGUGGUUAACAAAAAAAA